rnacentral:rRNA from 1 species
UACGGAGGGUGCAAGCGUUAUCCGGAUUCACUGGGUUUAAAGGGUGCGUAGGUGGGCAGGUAAGUCAGUGGCGAAAUCUCCGGGCUUAACUCGGAAACUGCCAUUGAUACUAUCUUUCUUGAAUACCGUGGAGGUCAGCGGAAUAUGUCAUGUAGCGGUGAAAUGCCUAGAUAUGACAUAGAACACCAAUUGCGAAGGCAGCUGGCUACACGAAUAUUGACACUGAUGCACGAAAGCGUGGGGAUCAAACAGG